GCCUUAGUGGCAUAGUGGUCAAGGCAGUUGCCUGGUAAAUCGGGGGUCGUAGGUUCAAUCCUACCCAAGGUG
rfam:Asian citrus Psyllid, Diaphorina citri - Florida Strain, whole genome shotgun sequence.